GAUACUGACUCCAGUCUAUACAGCCCUUACUUGUAAGAACCAGAGCUGUGUGGAGAUUCCUGCAUAAGGAUGAGGAUCGGCUGGAAAAGUGAGGAACCAAUGAUGUCCAGGCAUCGAACUUUACAGAGGAAGAUGGAGCUGGAAGAAGACAUGGCGUCUGGACCAGAUGAAGAAGAAAAGGAAAGACAACAGAGAAGAUGUCUCCUGUGAGUCAUUUUAUGUUUGUGUAUUCUCCUGACUGUCCCAUUAAAUCUCUCGUCACUUCUAAGUUUUGUAGUAAUAAUGGAUGACACUGUACCCCAAUUUGAGGCUUUAGCAGUUACAAAACUACAACUCCUAUAACCGCUGAAGCUCUCCAGACAGAAUGGGUGUUGUAGCUUUGCAACAGCUGGAAAGAGUGACUUGAACUGAAGUGAUUUUAGACCAUGCAGCCCAUUUUAUUUUAACGGGGGCCUGACUCCUGUGACACCCACCAAAAAAAAAAAAAAGGCAACAGUCUAAUAUGCCCAGGCCUAUUCUUAGUAGUCAAAAUUAUUCAAAUUCUAAGUGUAUAUAUGUAUGUAAUGUAUACUUACCUUGUUGUGGUGUCGCAGGACCUGCGGGUCACGUGAUGCGUUCCAGAACUCUAUGGUUUUCUAGUUAAGGACCUUUGGAGGUAGUCAGGUGAUCACCCACCAUGCAUUGUAACGGUGAGUGACAGCUGACAUUGGACCAAUCCAAAACGGCCCUGCCCAUAUAAGGGAGCGGCGGCCAUUAAUCUCUCUUGUUCCUGCGCUGCUGAUGAGGACGGAUCUGCGCAGCUGUCAUCAGCACUUGCUAGGCCUAAGCCCUGCGGCCACGGCCAUCUCUCAAAAACUGUGAGUUACUUCAAUCCCUGUUAACUCCGCAAAGAUCACUGGACCUAAAUAAUCCCCUAAAUCCAGCGCAUCUCUGGAAGAAACCCUAAUUCUAAUGAUUUCUGGAUAAUUCAGUGGUCCUCAGCAUCUGUCAAUCACUGCCGUGCUGAAUAGAGACUUUGUUAAUAAGACUGUUGCUGUUAUUGGAUGUACCGCAAAUACCUCAGUAAAGUUUCACGCAAGUUCAAGUUCAUCUUUGCUGUGGACAUUCAGUUAUUUAUGCAUGCACCUAUCGUUUCUGGGAAGGGUGGCGAUAGGCCGAAAAUUUACCUCAGCGUAUUAACCCUCACCCUGGCGUCACAAGUGGCAAGGGUUAAAUUAACGCCUCAUAUACCAACACAGCAACACCCCAUCUACACAACA